rnacentral:rRNA from 1 species
UACGUAGGGGGGCUAGCGUUGUCCGGAAUCAUUGGGCGUAAAGCGCGUGUAGGCGGUCCGGUAAGUCCGCUGUGAAAGUCGGGGGGCUCAACCCUCGGAUGCCGGUGGAUACUGUCGGGCUUGAGUACGGAAGAGGCGAGUGGAAUUCCUGGUGUAGCGGUGAAAUGCGCAGAUAUCAGGAGGAACACCAAUGCGAAGGCAGCUCGCUGGGACGUUACUGACGCUGAGACGCGAAAGCGUGGGGAGCAAACAGG